rnacentral:misc_RNA from 1 species
GAUGAAGAACGUAGCGAAAUGCGAUAAGUAAUGUGAAUUGCAGAAUUCAGUGAAUCAUCGAAUCUUUGAACGCACCUUGCACCCUUUGGCAUUCCGAAGGGUAUGCUCGUUUGAGUGUCAUUGUACUCUCACACUUCCAAUUCUUUGGAUUGGGAGCGGUGGACUUGGGCGCUGCUGCUUUACUGUGGCUCACCUCAAAUGCAUUAGUGCAACCCUUGGUUAGACAUAGUACGGCGUGAUAAGUGUCUUCGCUGGCGACUCACAUUUAGAGGGUGGCUGAUCAGGGGCUCUGUGCUUCAAACCGUCUUUGGACAAUGGCUGACAACUUGACCUCAAAUCGAGUAGGACUACCCGCUGAACUUAAGCAUAUCAAUAAGCGGAGGA